rnacentral:rRNA from 1 species
GACGAAACGCUGGCGGCGUGCCUAAUACAUGCAAGUCGAACGCUUUUUCUUUCACCGGAGCUUGCUCCACCGAAAGAAAAAGAGUGGCGAACGGGUGAGUAACACGUGGGUAACCUGCCCAUCAGAAGGGGAUAACACUUGGAAACAGGUGCUAAUACCGUAUAACACUAUUUUCCGCAUGGAAGAAAGUUGAAAGGCGCUUNUGCGUCACUGAUGGAUGGACCCGCGGUGCAUUAGCUAGUUGGUGAGGUAACGGCUCACCAAGGCAACGAUGCAUAGCCGACCUGAGAGGGUGAUCGGCCACACUGGGACUGAGACACGGCCCAGACUCCUACGGGAGGCAGCAGUAGGGAAUCUUCGGCAAUGGACGAAAGUCUGACCGAGCAACGCCGCGUGAGUGAAGAAGGUUUUCGGAUCGUAAAACUCUGUUGUUAGAGAAGAACAAGGAUGAGAGUAAAAUGUUCAUCCCUUGACGGUAUCUAACCAGAAAGCCACGGCUAACUACGUGCCAGCAGCCGCGGUAAUACGUAGGUGGCAAGCGUUGUCCGGAUUUAUUGGGCGUAAAGCGAGCGCAGGCGGUUUCUUAAGUCUGAUGUGAAAGCCCCCGGCUCAACCGGGGAGGGUCAUUGGAAACUGGGAGACUUGAGUGCAGAAGAGGAGAGUGGAAUUCCAUGUGUAGCGGUGAAAUGCGUAGAUAUAUGGAGGAACACCAGUGGCGAAGGCGGCUCUCUGGUCUGUAACUGACGCUGAGGCUCGAAAGCGUGGGGAGCGAACAGGAUUAGAUACCCUGGUAGUCCACGCCGUAAACGAUGAGUGCUGGGUGUUGGAGGGUUUCCGCCCUUCAGUGCUGCAGCAAACGCAU